CCUACUGCUAUCGGGAUGAGACUAAAACAUGCUAGUUGUGCGCACCCAAGCUAUGUUGGGAGCGCAGCGAACGGCUCCGUAACACGUAGUCAAUCUAACCUUAGGAUGGGAAUAACCCCGGGAAACUGGGGCUAAUACCUGAUAGGCGAAAAAAUCUGGAAUGACUUUUCACUCAAAGAGUUUUGGGAACAUGCUCCUUUGACUGCCUAAGGAUGAGACUGCGACCGAUCAGGUUGUUGGUGGGGUAACGGCCUACCAAGCCUAUAACCGGUACGGGCCCUGAGAGGGGGUGCCCGGAGAUGGGAACUGAGACAAGGUCCCAGACCCUACGGGGUGCAGCAGUUGCGAAAACUCUACAAUGCACGAAAGUGUGAUAGGGUUAUCCCGAGUGCCGUCCGAUGAGGAUGGCUUUUACCUGGUGUAAGGAGCCAGGGGAAUAAAGGGGGGGCAAGACUGGUGUCAGCCGCCGCGGUAAUACCAGCCCCCUGAGUGGUAGGGAUGAUUAUUUGGCCUAAAGCGUCCGUAGCCGGCUUAGCAAGUCUUUCGUUAAAUCCAGUGACUUAAUCAUUGGGCUGCGAGAGAUACUACUAGGCUUGAGGACGG
rnacentral:rRNA from 1 species